AUUGAACGCUGGCGGCAGGCCUAACACAUGCAAGUCGAGCGGAUGAAGGGAGCUUGCUCCUGGAUUCAGCGGCGGACGGGUGAGUAAUGCCUAGGAAUCUGCCUGGUAGUGGGGGAUAACGUCCGGAAACGGGCGCUAAUACCGCAUACGUCCUGAGGGAGAAAGUGGGGGAUCUUCGGACCUCACGCUAUCAGAUGAGCCUAGGUCGGAUUAGCUAGUUGGUGGGGUAAAGGCCUACCAAGGCGACGAUCCGUAACUGGUCUGAGAGGAUGAUCAGUCACACUGGAGCUGGACCACGGUCCAGGGUACUACGGGACGCAGCAGUCGGGAAUGUGAGACAGUGGGCGGAAGCCUGGUCCAGCCAGGGCGAGUGUGUGAAGAAGAUCUUGGGAGUGUGAAGCACGCUAAGUUGGGGUGAAGGGCAGUAAGUUAAUACCUUGCUGUUUUGACGUUACCGACAGAAUAAGCACCGGCUAACUUCGUG
rnacentral:rRNA from 1 species